rnacentral:pre_miRNA from 1 species
CUACUACGUGCCGCUCGCAAAGUGGCUGUCAUGUGUCCCAAUUUCAAGUUUAGCGUUUCAUAUCACAGCCAGCUUUGAUGAGCGGGACGUUUUGUGGCCUU